rnacentral:lncRNA from 1 species
ACCCAUUUAUUAACAACUUGAUUUUUAUCUUUUCUAAAUCCUCCGUUUGAGAUCUUGGUAACAAAACAAACUCAAAAUUUUAACAAGGGCUAAUCCAUCUGCGGGGUUUUGGUUCAUGCUUAGCCAAACUAACUAUAUGGUCGAGCUAUGAGAAUUCUAUAAGACAAAUUAUAGUUUUCUUCAAGAUCUUAUUGACUUCAAGGUGUUCAUGUGUAAAGAAGAACAUGACUGCAUGAGAAAGGUAAAGCAGUAAGUUAUAUCCCAAUUUAACGGCAAGCAAACUACAGAGCACAUUAGAGGAUGACAUAAUAUGAACUUAAACUGACGACACUCCUAUAUGAAUGAACCACUAGUAAGCAUAUACCAUGUAGCUAGAAGUGCUUCCAAAACAAAACAGCUCAUCAAGGACAUUACAACCACCAUACUCACCCGUACAUGCAAAAAUAGAGUGAAGCUUCCAUUUUCAGCCAUAGCUAAGUAAAGUCUCAGCUUCAGAACAGGCAGAGGUCACAAAUGGUUAUACAUUAAUUGAUUAAACUAGCAUGGCACUAAACCAAAAUACAAUCAGACAAUACUAUUAAUAAACAACAAAUGGAUCAAUGCUAUAACAAUUUCCACAACUCGAAUUACACACUCAAGCCAGGCUUUAGCUCAAAACUUCAUUAUCAAUAGUGUGAAGAGAUGUACCUGGAUAAAAGUAGAAUAAAAAUGAAUUGAUGGGAAGAAGCAGUAAACAGCAGGAAUCCAUCCAAGAUUUGACCAAAUACCCAAUGAGUUUAACUUUGAAACCGAUGGAACAAUAACUCUAUUGCAAGUUCAAACCAUUUUAAACCUUUAAUGCAUCGCAAGUUAUUUCAACCAACUCCAGAUUGAAAACCAAGAGAAGAAAUCAAUGCAACAGUAGAAUGCAACUAUUUUUUUUAUUUUUGUUAUUUUUUCGAUUUUCAGCUCCUCUAAUCUCUCACUUUAUGCCUAAGUUUUCAAUUCUUUUAUAGGUCAACCAUUAAGGCAAACUUCAGAUCUUUAUUUUAUCCGUUAGUCCCUACUUAAUCACUUUUUUUGUUACUUAGCCCCUGAUUUUGUAACUUGUUGGCCAAGUCAUAGUCUGAAGAUUUAGAACCCACCCCUGUUAGAAGCUUCUAGGUUGUUAUCCAAAGAAUCUCUACCCUAAAAACUCCAAACUACUCCUCAAACCUUCUACAUUUUACCCUUGCAUAUCAGGCAAAACCUGAGUCCAAGUGACCCAAGCUGAUAAGCCUGAAUAGGCCUCCUAUCGAUUCCUUUUUUGGGCCCUUUAAUUUUGGAAACCCCUAUUGGCAUUGAAAUCCCAAAGUUUCCAAGCCAAUCCAUAGAGUCUCAAAGACUCGUGGAGUUUAGGUCCAAAACAAAAGUAAAAAAAUUUCAAACUAAGCCCUGAAGUCGUUACUACCCACACAAGUCGGAACUCAAUCAUGCAAGCAUAAAAAUGAAAUGAAAACCCAAUAAAGGCUAAACUAGCGAAGAUGAGGUGUAAGCAAAAUACAAAAUUUAACAACCUAGGCGAAAGCAAAUACCAUUUAAGAAGACGAAGAGAUGAACUCAAACACUCGAGGGAAAAUUGCCCGGACCUUGAUGAAUCCGAAAUAGGCUGAUACUCACGUUAACCAACGGCUCUUGAGAAAGCCAUUAAUUAAUGUAAGUCUCAACUCAAAGCAUGCCAAGAAAUCCACGAAAAGGGUUGGAGAGACGAAAGCUUGGAAGUUCCGGCUACUUUGGGAUUUAAGAUUUGAAGAGCUCAGGCCAUAUUCAAAGGUUAUUGGCCAUGGACUAGGUACGAGAGGGUUGUGGUGGUUAAGGGGAAUGAAUUUGGGGAGGUUUUGUGGUGGCGCCGCCGGUCGCGACGGAGGAUUCAAAGGAGGCGCCCUAGGGUUUGGAGGUUUCGCCAGUUUCUGGUGGGGUUUGAGGGAAGUGGGUGGUGGCAUGGGUAUGAGGGGGAGGAGAUGAAUCUAUGGUGUAAAUUUGGUGGCUAUUGGAGUCUCGCCGCCACCAUGGGGCGAUUUUCGGAGGCGGCCGUCGGUGGUGUUACAGGGGAAAAAGACGAAGGGUCCUAAGUUGUCUCUGAAGCCUUCAAACAUCUUUAACUGAUUUUGGUGAGGCUUUCCUGGCCAUUGGAUGAAACCGAAUGAAGGGUCGAGAUUGAAUACCAUGAAACGACAUCAUUUUGGGUGCAACCGGGGCUGGCUGGUCCGGGUAAGAGACUGGAUUUGGGAUUGGCAUGCGGGUGUUUGACCGGGUUUUUGGUGUUUGGGCUUGGAAUAAUGGCCCAAAUCUAUGGUCUUCAGCCCUUUAAAAAAACUGCAUUCCCUUUUUCUUUAUUUAUUUUUUUCAUUUCAAAAUUUAAUUAAAAUCUAGAUUAAGUCCUAGGACUUAAUUAAACCUAAAUGAUACUUAUCACACUUAAUUAUAAAUAAAUUGAAAG